rnacentral:lncRNA from 1 species
UAAGACUCCUCAAAAUAUGCAAUUAUGCAUGUGGUACCAAACAGGACCGAAGCCCUCACCGCUUUUGAAUGGUUAAAGCAUUCAUCAGGACCGAAGCCCUCACCGCUCUGAACAACUAGUGCUCCAGGACAUGAGUCCUCUCCGCUGUUUAUGCAUAUGCAAUGGACCUACUUGUGUAUAUCUACAUACAACUUGACCAUGCAUAC